GAUAUACUCCCUCCGUUUCGAAUUAUUUGUCUUGGAUUUGUCUAGAUACGGAUGUAUCUAGACUUAUUUUAAUGCUAGAUAUCUCCGUAUCUAGAUAAAUCUAAGACAAGUAAUUCAGAACGGAGGAAGUAUUUG
rfam:Triticum urartu cultivar G1812 contig961081, whole genome shotgun sequence.